ACCGGCAAACGGGUGCGGAACACGUACACAACCUUCCUUCAAGCGGGGAAUAGCCCAGAGAAAUUUGGAUUAAUACCCCAUAAUAUAUUAUAGAGGCAUCUUUAUGAUAUUAAAGCUUCGGCACUUGUUGAUGGGUGUGCGUCUGAUUAGGUAGUUGGUGAGGCAACGGCUCACCAAGCCAACGAUCAGUAGCUGAUGUGAGAGCAUGAUCAGCCACACGGGCACUGAGACACGGGCCCGACUCCUACGGGAGGCAGCAGUAAGGAAUAUUGGACAAUGGACGCAAGUCUGGUCCAGCCAUGCCGCGUGAAGGAUUAAGGUCCUCUGGAUUGUAAACUUCUUUUAUAGGGGGCGAAAAAAGGGCAUUCUUGCUCACUUGACGGUACUCUAUGAAUAAGCACCGGCUAACUCCGUGCCAGCAGCCGCGGUAAUACGGAGGGUGCAAGCGUUAUCCGGAUUCACUGGGUUUAAAGGGUGCGUAGGCGGGUAAUUAAGUCAGUGGUGAAAUCUCGGAGCUUAACUCCGAAACUGCCAUUGAUACUAUUUAUCUUGAAUAUUGUGGAGGUUUGCGGAAUAUGUCAUGUAGCGGUGAAAUGCUUAGAUAUGACAUAGAACACCUAUUGCGAAGGCAGCAGGCUACACAUAUAUUGACGCUGAGGCACGAAAGCGUGGGGAUCAAACAGGAUUAGAUACCCUGGUA
rnacentral:rRNA from 1 species